CUUUCAUUGUUUUGGCGGAAAAAUCCAUUUUAAAGUGGAAAUUGUGGAAAAAAGGUAGUUCAAAAUGGAAAUGUUUCUCUUAUUUCUUUUGGUGGAAAAAAAAAUACAGUUUAAACUAUUUAUUUAUGUUUUUAUUUUUAUUUAAGUUACGGUACGAAAGGGAAAUUUCCCCUUUUUUGUGGAAGAACCAGUGUUAAAAUCUACAUUUUCCCAUUUUUGUGGGAAAUUCCAUUUUUAAAUUUAUUUCCCCCGUUUUCUGUGGAAAAAACCAGUUAAAAAUACAAAUUGUUUCCGUUUUCUGUGGAACUCAAAAUUCACCUCAGUGGACUGUCAGUGGGACUUAAUAUUAUUAAAGGCCAAUGUAAACAAUUCCAUGCUUUAGGGAGCUAAAAAAUAAAGGAUUUGAAACACAGAGGGGAAAGGAGCUGAGGGAAAUAAUAAAAAUGGGUGUAAAUCUGUGGGAUUUUUGACUCUUGAGGUAGAACUUGAUACCUAAUUCCCUGAAGCUGAUGGAUUUCUUUUUUCCUUAGGAAUGAUAUGGAAAACACGACGGGGACAGGCACAAGAAGAGUUCCCAGGAGUUGUUUAAGAGCAGCAUGAAAAGCAAAAUAUUUUCAGGGAUGUCCCUUCAUUUAGAGACAAUUUGUGUUUAUUCCAUGCUCCGUGCUCUGGGAUUGGGACAGUCCUGGAGCCACCUGAGAGCUGGAAGAGCCUGGGACGUGCCAGGGGACACCGGGGAGAUCACCAGAAGUGCUCCCAGGACAUCACCAGUGUGAAGCCCACACACACCUCCUUCCAUCUCCUCUCCUGAAGAAGCUUCUAGAAGAGAACUUUCAAGACCUGCUGAAGCAUUCUGAGAGACCCCAGCUGUGGCUCUAGGGGAGAAAAGCAAAAUAUCAGCUGCCGGUGUGAAAUAAUGUGGAAGGAGAAACCUGGCAACCCAGAAAUGCUGGCUGGAGGGAAGGGAAAGGACAGGAAGCUGCUCACCCACAGCUUGAAACACCCUCAUGCCAAAUGUGGAAACAGCAAGAAUCUACAAUAAACCAGAAGAACCUGUGCUGAGGUGCUGAAGAAAAGGUCUUACCCACAGCAGAACUUUAAGCAACACCUGUGGGGUGAAAACAAAACAACAAAAAAGUUCUUUAUUGCAAUUACAAUGGGAACUGGGAUCACUGGAGGGUUCCUGGAACCAACAGUCCUGCUGGGGUGAGAUAACAGAUGUUCAUCCAGCUGUGCAGAAACCACCCAAAACUUCUUCCUGAAAGUGCCUUGCUGAACAUAUAAAAUGAGAAUUCCUUAACUGCUGGCCCCCAGCUCUUCUGAGAAUUUUCAAGCAGGAGAAAAUUCUCAUUGUGAAGCAAAAAAAAAUUGAAACUGCUGCUUUCUUGCCAGGACGGGACAAAGAUAUUUCAAAUAAAGGUGUAGCCUCUCCCUAAGUCACUUUUUAGGCAGAGGUUCAGGUUUUCUGUGGAGAUCUCUCUCUGGGAAGCAGCAAAUUUGGUGGUGAUGUUGUGAAUAAAUUGUUAUCCAGGAUAAGUUUGUACCAUCCUCCACCACCCAGACAUUCAGGGCUGCAGAGGAUGUGGAAUCCCAAUGACCCUCAGGGAGGAGAGAAAAGGGAUCUCCAAGCACCCAGCUGGGAACUGCACAGCACGGGGGUGCUGCAAUGAAGCUGUGCUAAAACCCGCAGAUCCACCCCAGCCCUGAGGGCGGCGGGAGCGGGGCUGUCACUGGCAGCGCAGCAGCUCUUCCCAGCGGAUGGGCUGCGAAAACACCUCCCGCUCCAGCCACAGCUCGUAGGAGUAGUGGAAGUCCUCGGGCAGCUCCAGGCGCUGGCCCAGCACGCUCUGCAGGCAGUUGUCCACCGGCGCGAACUCCGAGUCCUGCGGCUUGUCGUACCUGCGGCUGUUGAAGGCUUCGAUGUUGGCCCUCAGCGUGCACUCCUCAGCCUGGAAAUCCCACGGCCUGGCGUCAAUGUCUGCAGGGGAGGAGGGACAGCAUCCAAAUAGUGGGGGAAACACCGCUCUGACAAGGUCUGAGCAAAAGAAAGGCUGAAGGUUGCACGUGAAUUAACCAGUCACUCCUAAUUAUUAUUAUUCCUAACCAAAUCCCAUUAUGUGGGCAUUUUCAUUUAAGAUGUCCCAUAAAAAUAUAAUUACUCCUGCAUUAAGGACUAUUUCAGAUAGUCCAUAAAAAUGUAAUUAUUCCUGCUUUAAGGGCUCUCUAUAAUUAUAUUAUAAUUAUAAUAUUAUUUUUUCACAAAGACCCCACCACUUUUACUGAAAACCUCCACUGACCACUGAAGCAGGGAUGAAGAUUUAAAACAUUUAAAACCUGGUGAGCUUAUUAUGAGCUCCUAACCACAAAUAUUUUAAAAUUUGGGCAAAUGUAGCUAUGAAUGGUACUGAAAAGCUGCAAUAACCAUGACAUUAAGUCAUAUGAUAUAAACCUAUAAUAUGAAAAGAA